UUCAUUGCUCCAUCGCCAAACUACAGAAACAAACGUCAGGCACCAAAACCGCCUACACUGGGGGUCCGGAGGAGGGGCUGUUCUCUUUUUCGAAACGGUCACUUUAAUGUGGUCAGAGUCAGAGAGCAUGGAACACUGCUGGCUUUCAAAGCCCUCACGUCACAAAUGCAUAGUGAUCUUCAGCUAUCAGGCCAGCGUAUGUCCACCAUCCAACACUGAUCUCCAGCCAACGUCAGGCCAGUGUAUGUCCACCAUCUAACACUGAUCUCCAGCCAACGUCAGGCCAGCGUACGCCCACCAUCCAACACUGAUCUCCAGCCAACGUCAGGCCAGCGUAUAUCCACCAUCCAACACUGAUCUCCAGCCAACGUCAGGCCAGCGUACGCCCACCAUCCAACACUGAUCUCCAGCCAACAUCAAGCCAGCGUACGCCCACCGUCUAACACUGAUCUCCAGCCAACGUCAGGCCAGUGUACGCCCACCGUCUAAUGUUGAUCUCCAGCCAAUGUCAGGUCAGCGUACGCCCACCGUCUAACGCUGAUCUCCAGCCAACGUCAGGCCAGUGUACGCCCACCGUCUAAUGCUGAUCUCCAGCCAACGUCAGGCCAGCGUACGCCCACCAUCCAACACUGAUCUCCAGCCAACGUCAGGCCAGUGUACACCCACCGUCUAAUGCUGAUCUCCAGCCAACGUCAGGCCAGCGUACGCCCACCAUCCAACACUGAUCUCCAGCCAACGUCAGGCCAGCGUAUACCCACCAUCCAACACUGAUCUCCAGCCAACGUCAGGCCAGUGUAUACCCACCAUCCAACACUGAUCUCCAGCCAACGUCAGGCCAGCGUACGCCCACCAUCCAACACUGAUCUCCAGCCAACGUCAGGCCAGCGUAUGCCCAACAUCCAACACUGAUCUCCAGCCAAAUUUCAGGCCAGUGUACGCCCACCAUCCAACACUGAUCUCCAGCCAACGUCAGGCCAGCGUAUAUCCACCAUCCAACACUGAUCUCCAGCCAACUUCAGGCCAGCGUUCGCCCACCAUCCAACACUGAUCACCAGCCAACGUCAGGCCAGCGUAUACCCACCAUCCAACACUGAUCUCCAGCCAACGUCAGGCCAGCGUACGCCCACCAUCCAACACUGAUCUCCAGCCAACGUCAAGCCAGCGUACGCCCACCGUCUAACACUGAUCUCCAGCCAACGUCAGGCCAGUGUACGCCCACUGUCUAACGUUGAUCUCCAGCCAAUGUCAGGUCAGCGUACGCCCACCGUCUAACGCUGAUCUCCAGCCAACGUCAGGCCAGCGUACGCCCACCAUCCAACACUGAUCUCCAGCCAACGUCAGGCCAGUGUAUGCCCACCGUCUAAUGCUGAUCUCCAGCCAACGUCAGGCCAGCGUACGCCCACCAUCCAACACUGAUCUCCAGCCAACGUCAGGCCAGCAUAUACCCACCAUCCAACACUGAUCUCCAGCCAACGUCAGGCCAGCGUACGCCCACCAUCCAACACUGAUCUCCAGCCAACGUCAAGCCAGCGUACGCCCACCGUCUAACACUGAUCUCCAGCCAACGUCAGGCCAGCGUACGCCCACCAUCCAACACUGAUCUCCAGCCAACGUCAGGCCAGUGUAUGCCCACCGUCUAAUGCUGAUCUCCAGCCAACGUCAGGCCAGCGUACGCCCACCAUCCAACACUGAUCUCCAGCCAACGUCAGGCCAGCAUAUACCCACCAUCCAACACUGAUCUCCAGCCAACGUCAGGCCAGCGUACGCCCACCAUCCAACACUGAUCUCCAGCCAACGUCAAGCCAGCGUACGCCCACCGUCUAACACUGAUCUCCAGCCAACGUCAGGCCAGUGUAUGCCCACCGUCUAAUGCUGAUCUCCAGCCAACGUCAGGCCAGCGUACGCCCACCAUCCAACACUGAUCUCCAGCCAACGUCAGGCCAGCAUAUACCCACCAUCCAACACUGAUCUCCAGCCAACGUCAGGCCAGCGUACGCCCACCAUCCAACACUGAUCUCCAGCCAACGUCAGGCCAGCGUACGCCCACCGUCUAACACUGAUCUCCAGCCAACGUCAGGCCAGUGUACGCCCACCGUCUAACGUUGAUCUCCAGCCAAUGGUAGGUCAGCGUACGCCCACCGUCUAACGCUGAUCUCCAGCCAACAGCAGGCCAGUGUACGCCCACCGUCUAACGCUGAUCUCCAGCCAACAGCAGGCCAGUGUACGCCCACCAUCCAACACUGAUCUCCAGCCAACGUCAGGCCAGUGUAUGCCCACCGUCUAAUGCUCAUCUCCAGCCAACGUCAGGCCAGCGUACGCCCACCAUCCAACACUGAUCUCCAGCCAACGUCAGGCCAGCAUAUACCCACCAUCCAACACUGAUCUCCAGCCAACGUCAGGCCAGCGUAUGCCCACCGUCUAACACUGAUCUCCCACCAACGUCAGGCCCACCAUAUGUAUCACCUAAUGUUGAACUCUAGCUGACAUCAAUCCAGCAUAGGCUCACCAUCCAACAUUGACCUCUAGCCAGCAUAAGGACACUAAAGGCCCACCAUCUAACACUGGGCCUCAUUUACCAACCGUUCUUAAGAGGAAUCACAAAGACCAGUUCUGGGGUUCAAGAUUACGUCAUGAAUCUGACGUGGACUUUUCCUCAGAAACUUUCUCAAUAACACAUUUAAGAAGGAGCUUAUGAAGAUAUUGGUGAAUGAGGCCCAGUGAUUGGCAGCUAAUGUCAGGCGAGUGUAGGCCCACCGGCCAAAAUCCCGUUGGCCAAAUAUGAUUUGACCGAUGUCAGUGAGCCAUGUAUACUUGCUACCUGGGGUACUUUGUUGAGAGAAGGCUGUUGUUGCCAGUCAGCAAUGAACUGCAUGAGGACAACAAGAGCUUUCAGUUGCUCAUCAUUGUGUGUGGCAGCCAGUUCUAAUAAAGUUAAUAUUCA
ensembl:lncRNA